ACAUUGAGGGCCACUGCAUCAGAAAAUUAGAGAAGUGUUUCUAAAAGUGCUGAUUUUGGUUUGAAAACAACCAACAUCAAACAUGGUGGUUCAAUGUUUAUCAUCUUGAAAUACUGCAACGUAGAACUUCGGCUGAUGCAGCCCUCCAUGUGUGGCGGAUUCGUCGAUUGUAAGGGUGCCAUGUUCGUGUAUUUCUCUGGUGCAGUGGCAGCUAUGGUUCAAGGAUUAUAUUAUCUCUUUUAUUUUAGUGCUCUUUUUAGUGGUGUUUCACUCUUCACACAUAACUGUUGGACUAAUGUUUUAAUGAUUUUAGAACAUAAAGUUGAAAGAAUAGUGUUUUACAUAUGUAUUCUGCUCCUUGAAGUGUCCAUAUAUACCUCUAAUGAUUGAUUCUUAUGUGCUUAUAAUUUGUAAUUUUUGCUAUCAAGGAGAUGGAUUCUGGACACAUGAAUUUACUUAAUGGUUUAUUGUGACGUCUCUUUCUAUUGCCAAUUUUGCUUGAUUUCUUUGCCCAUAGUAAUGUUAUUAAGGAUAGUUACUUGCUGCUAUCAAUCUUAACAUAGUUGUUGCUUUCUUGAGACGUGGUUUAUGAAUUAAGGUCGUAUGCAUGGCUUUAUCUAUACACACUGCUUCAAAUAUCUGAACUUGUGUCAUUUUAGGAUUAUGGAUGGAUUAAACCAAGAUGGCAACAAUGUGGAUUCUUUCUUACGGAACUACAAACUUGGGAAGACUCUUGGGAUUGGUUCAUUUGGCAAAGUUAAAAUUGCUGAACAUGCAUUGACAGGGCACAAAGUUGCUGUCAAGAUUCUAAAUCGUAAGAAGAUAAAGAAUAUGGAUAUGGAAGAAAAUGAUGGCGAUUUACAUAUCUUUACAAGAGUGGAGCAUAGGGGAUUGAAGUGGAAGACCAUUGAUAAAGAUAUCAAUUGUCACUAUAGCCCAAUUCAAACAUUGUUGGUGUUUGUAGGCGAUCGAACCGAGGGCAUUGCAUGCUUACUCCGCACCCCUCAAGGAAAAAAAGAUUGCCCAUAGCUACAGGAGCUAAUAGAAAGAGAGGGUUGAUUUAUUCAUAAUUACACAGAGAUAUAGCUAGCUAGAAUUUGCAACAAUGUUUGAAGUUAUGAUUGGUGGGUGAUCUCUAAUGGCUGCCGGCAAUGCCCCAUCUGCUCAUGAAAGAGAAUAGAUUAUUGAGAUGAUGGAGAAGGAGAUGGAAUACAGGGUGGAUAUGUUUAACAAGCUUACACACAAGUGUUUCGGCAAGUUCAUCGAGAACAAGUACACAAGGAAGCUUGAGUUAAAUAUGGGAAAAACAACUGCAUUGACCUGGUGCUUCAAAAUAUUGGCAGGUGACUAACUUAGUUGGCCAGCUGCUAGGCAACAGUCGAAUGUAGAGAAGAUAAUUUUUAUUUUGUAACUGUUUGAGAUUGAUUGAUAGUUUGCAUGGAGGAAGAUAUUAGGUAUAGUUUUUACUUCUUUUUCUCUCAUUUUCUUUUCCACUUUGGUUUCUACAAUAUUACAUUUGGUUUGUAUAUGUUAAAAUUGAAGGGCAGAGCUGCUUUGAUUGAGAUGGGGGCUUACACAUGUGAGUUUCAGAGGAUUACGAGGGCUAUUCGGUGGAGAAUUCAGCUAAAGAAGAAGUUGAAUGUACCUGUCUUUUUUGCAUUUGCUGAAAAUAUCAUCAAUAACCUUCAAAUGGGCUUAUACUAUUUAAGACCAAC